rnacentral:misc_RNA from 1 species
AACGCACCUUGCGCCCUUUGGUAUUCCGAAGGGCACACCUGUUUGAGUGUCAUUAAUUCCUCAACCCUACCAUUUUUUAAAAUGGUAGUGGUUGGAUGUUGAGCGCUGCUGGAUCUUUGGUUCAGCUCGCUUUAAAUUUAUGAGCAGGCUCCUACUCUUUCGGACUGACUCAACGUGAUAAGAAAUUUCGUUGAGGACGCUUUACCGCGGCCGAAUGUUGGGGAAAUGCCGCUGCUAGUUGACCCCUAUAUUUUAGACCUCAAAUCAGGUGGGACUACCCGCUGAACUUAA